rnacentral:sRNA from 1 species
CCACAAUCAAACGGUUCUGUUCGCCCCAUCGCAGUAGUGAACCUCAUGCGAAGAAUCUGGGCGACGACCAUUCUCAAAGCCACCUUCGAACCAAAAUUUCUCCUCCCCUUCCAGACGGGGCUCAUGUCGGCAGCCGGAGUCGAGCAAAUUGUCAGUGCAGUUUGAACGAAUGAAAGGUUCACUGUAUUGCCAUCGUAUUCAUCUUUCCUCUCUAACGCAUCUGAUACGUCGAAUGCUUUCAAUGGCGUCGACAGGAAGGAAAUGGCGAUUGUGGUAGCUACCGACUCGCCCAAACUCUGAAACAUGUAAAUGGUCCUACAGCAACCCGUUGGCGCUGGUUUGCGACGGGCAUGUACUAUCUUCCUCCUGGAGGUUCGGCAGGGAGACCCUUUCAGCCUGUCCUCUCCUCCUUAGCCCUACACCCACCCUUACCGAAUUUUCCAAGCACGUUCGGCCCCAUUGUCAAAUGACUGCAUACCACGAUGACGUCUUCAUCUUCUCGCCGACAACAAAGUGCUCAAUGAAACCAAGCCAUUCCUAACCUCCGAGAGUCGUAUAUUAAGACUCAACGAGGGAAAAUGGCCAAGGGGCUGCGAGUAAUACAUGAAAUAGGCUCCACCAUUGGGUACAAUGGUUGGCAGCACAACGAGGCGCAGAACCUUCUUGUAACACCAAGUCAACAAAGAAACCACAAAAAUUCCCAAACUUCAACCCCUUCUGGCCCAGCGUGAGCUCCCCGUCUUCCCUGGAAGAUGCCUAAAAUUGCCUUGUUCAAGAUCUACGGGCCAUAUGCAACGGUCAUGUCUUACUACAUUCGAGAAGCAUGGAUCCCGCUUGACAAGCCUUCUGGGAAGAGUUCCACUGCCUUCGCUUAGCCAAGGGUAUGUUGUUCCGCCCUGUCUUGAAGCCGAAAGAUACUCCCUUAUCAUCUUACCUACCCGUUACGGAAAGCUGGGGCUACUAUCACGCUAUGUCAUCGCUCCGGCGGCCUGAGCGACAGCCAAACGAGAGGACGACAAGGUCGUGAACAAGGUAUUUCAACAACUCCUCGAGACGCAGGAGACAGAUGGGGAAGACCCGUUUCUGAUUAAUAAUGCAAGAUGUGAGAAGACAUACGGAAAUCAGCGAAGAGGGACUGCUCGAAUGAAAGAUGACGAGAGGAAAUGCAUUGUCG